UGCUCAUCCGUCUGCUGGAGCCGGAGCCGCGCGCACGCCUGCGCUCGCUGCUCGCCCUCCAGCAGCAGCCCUUCUUCAAGGACUUCUCUUUCGUCGACGCCAGGUCCAAGAAGUUUCAUCCACUCCAAAUACUGGAAAAAUACUUUCCUGACGGGCCUGUAACAUCAUCUGAUUUUGUGUCAGAUGAUACUUCAUUUAGAGAUUUUUCUCCAGACUCAAAAUGAUGGUAUUUUGAUCUGUGUUUCCUUCAGAAGUGGCAGUUCUGCAUCAAUAAGGAGGUAUCAUUUAUUUUUAUGUAAUCAUACAAUACAAACAGUUUCUGCACUAUGGACAGAAAUUGUCAUCUGUGAAUACAAGAAGUUACCAAAAGAACUUUUAGGUACUAAUAAAGUGUAACUUUUGUCAAUUAUCCUUUCUUUUAUGGUUACCUCUUUUAAAUGUUACCAAAUGUCUAAAAUAAUCCAAACCACCAAUG